GUUGCUUCUCAGCCAUUAGGCUAAGAUCAAGAAUAAUACCUGUUUGUAUCAGUUUAAUAUCUGAUACUUCACUUGUCUAGGGAGCAUAUAUUAAAUUGAUUUUUGGAACAGGUAGAUAGAGUAGGGGCUUGCUCCAUCCAUUCCACGCAUCCAUUGCAGUGCUUUGAUAAAGGGCGGCACGGUG